rnacentral:rRNA from 1 species
ACUAUAUACUGUGAAACUGCGAAUGGCUCAUUAAAUCAGUUAUCGUUUAUUUGAUAGUAACCUACUACAUGGAAUACCUGUGGAAAAUCUAGAGCUAAUACAUGCUAAASCCCCSACUUCGGAAGGGGUGUGUUUAUUAGAUAAAAAGCCAAKGCCCUUCGGGGCUCCUUGGUGAUUCAUGAUAACCUUUCUGAUCGCAAAUGGCCUCCGCGCCGGCGACGGUUCAUUCAAAUUUCUGCCCUAUCAACUUUCGAUGGUACGGUAGUGGCCUACCAUGGUGUCAACGGGUAACGGGGAAUUAGGGUUCGAUUCCGGAGAGGGAGCCUGAGAAACCGCUACCACAUCCAAGGAAGGCAGCAGGCGCGCAAAUUACACAAUGUCGACUCGACGAUGUAGUGACAAUAAAUACUGAUACAGGGCUCUUUUGGGUCUUGUAAUUGGAAUGAGUACAAUUUAAACCUCUUAACGAGGAACAAUUAGAGGGCAAGUCUGGUGCCAGCAGCCGCGGUAAUUCCAGCUCUAAUAGCGUAUAUUAAAGUUGUUGCAGUUAAAAAGCUCGUAGUUGAACCUUUGGCUUGGCGAGCGCGUCCGCCUCACCGCGUGCACGUGACCCGCCGAGCCUUUUCUUCUGGAGAACCGCAUGCCCUUCACUGGGUGUGUUGGGGACCAGGACUUUUACUUUGAAAAAAUUAGAGUGUUCAAAGCAGGCCUUUGCUCGAAUACGUUAGCAUGGAAUAAUGGAAUAGGACGUGCGGUCCUAUUUUGUUGGUUUCUAGGACCGCCGUAAUGAUUAAUAGGGACAGUCGGGGGCAUCAGUA